AUGCGGAGCCCCCGUGGGAGUCGCAGAAAAGGGCCAUUGCCACUUUAAAUGACUCAGGAAGUGAAAGGAUCCCGCCUGACAGGGAAAGGGAAAGUGGAACCGGGGCGGCGGGGGCCGCGGCGCCGUGAUCUCGCCGGGGUACCUAGAGGCCGAGCGGGGUGUGCGGCGUGGGGGCCGACAGGGGCACGGGCCGCCGCGCCGGAAGUGGCCGGGCGGCCCAAGGAAGCACUGCCGGCGCCGAGCUUUCAGCCGGCGGGAAGGCCCUCUUUUCCCUGGCCGGGUGCGGGCUGCAGGGAGCAGGCGGCGCAGCCGCGGCCCGCACGGAAACACCGCACAGCCCAAGUGGGGGCUGCGACUCCCUGGGACAGGACCGGGUGGGGAGGAGGACGUGAGGGGACCGCGAAGGCCAGGAGGCGAGCUCCGAGGCCCCACGACCUGGGCCUCGUCCCCGCACCCACAUGGCCUCCGGAGGGGGCGCGGCCUUGGAGGAGCUGCCGCACGAUGGCACGUGUGACCAGUGCGAGCCCGACGAGGCUCCCGGGGCGGAGGAAGUGUGCCGAGAAUGCGGCUUCUGCUACUGCCGCCGCCACGCAGAGGUGCACAGGCAGAAGUUCCCAGGGCACCACCUGGCAGAGUACGUCCAUGGCGCUGCCCAGGCCUGGACCUCCCGAGUCCAGGAGGAAGGCCAGGGGAAGGAAGGCGUGGAGGCCCAGUUGGGGAAUGAGAGAGAGAUAGAGAGCGAGGCGGGGGAGCAGAGCGAGGAGUCCGAGGAGGACAGUGAGUCCGAAGAAGAGAGCGAGACGGAGGAAGAGAGUGAGGAGGAGAGCGAUGAGGAGAGCGAAGAAGACAGUGAGGAAGAGAUGGAGGAUGAGCAAGAGAGCGAGGCGGAGGAAGACAACCGUGAAGAAGGAGAAUCUGAGGCCGAGGGAGAAACUGAGGCAGAAAGUGAAUUUGACCCAGAAAUAGAAAUGGAAGCAGAGAGAGUGGCCAAGAGGAAGUGUCCGGACCAUGGGCUUGAUUUGAGCACCUAUUGCCAGGAAGAUAAACAGCUCAUCUGUGUCCUGUGUCCGGUCAUUGGGGCUCACCAGGGCCACCAGCUCUCCACCUUAGACGAAGCCUUCGAAGAGCUAAGAAGCAAAGAUUCAGGCGGAUUAAAGGCUGCGAUGAUAGAGUUGGUGGAAAGAUUGAAGUUCAAGAGCUCAGACCCUAAAGUCACUCGGGACCAGAUGAAGGUUUUUAUACAGCAGGAAUUUAAGAAAGUUCAGAAGGUGAUUGCUGAUGAGGAACAGAAGGCCCUUCAUCUAGUGGACAUCCAGGAAGCAAUGGCCACAGCUCAUGUGACUGAGAUACUGGCAGACAUCCAGUCCCACAUGGACAGGUUGAUGACUCAGAUGGCCCAAGCCAAGGAACAACAUGAUACCUCUAACGAAGCAGCUGAGCCAAAGGCAGAGGGUGACGAGGAAGGACCCAGAUGAAGAAAUUAGUAUUAUAAGAGUUUAAGUGAUUAAGCCAUGGUCACAGAGUUACAGAGUGACUCCACCAGGAGUAGAGUCCAGCGGUGCCAGUGAGGAAGAGGACACGUGAAGGCUUGCCGUUCCCGUGGAAAACCAUUCCUUCCCCUCGUGUGUAUGUGACAGCGUGUGCGUGACGGCUUCUGGUCUCUGUGAAAGCUGCCCGGCAACAAACGCCCUUCCACCGGACACGUCCCCUGACCCACAGCAGGCGCAUGUCUCUCCGAGGGGCGACCAGUUCUGUGCUUGCUGACUGUGUGCUUCUCAUGCUCUCGUUGUGUAGGUCCAGGAGCGGCACCCCUUGAUCAGCCAGGAGCAAUUAAGAAGGGUCCUCGAGGUGAUUCCUCUUGGCUGCUUUGAACUUACUCAGGAAAGCCCACCCCUGUAAUACUAGAUACCCACACGGCAUGUCCUCAUCAGGAAGGGUCUGGAAUAAUCUUGAAGGGCAGUCAGAGUAUGUUCCCUACAUGCUAAUCGGACCCCACUUUAUUCACAUGGAAGCAUGAAACAAAGGAGGGCCGAGGAAGGCCGGACACAUGGAAACAGUCUCCAGAAGUCCAAGUGUUCCUUCGUGGAAGUAUGGUUUCGUGAAACAAGAUGGAUGACAAGAUGGAGUUGGAGAAAGAGUUAAAAUGUAGAAACGUAUGGAGAUAUUUUUAGUACACCAGGUUAUGCAGGACUUCAGAUUCAUAAUUUAGUGCUGUGGAAAUGAAGGAAAAAUGAUCGAAGAGCUAGAAAGGAAAUGACCUUAAAAAAAAAAAAGGACCAAAGAGAUCUGAUUAAAAGUUGAAAUCAGUGUUUCUGCACUCAAAUUGCCUAAGCUUCCAAAAUAGUCACUAAAGCGUCUGAUGAAACCUCAAUGAUUUGGGUGAAUUCUGCAGGUUUUCUGAAUCUACUCACAGGAAAGGCUGGGAUAUGUAUUACCAAAUGGGAAUUUUCAGUGUGAGUUUCUGCUCCUCCUCCCCCAGCUUAGCCCCGUCUGGUUUACAUGCAGCGCGGGGAGAAUCCUCGUCACUCGGGACAUGCGGAACGGAGCCCCAAGCUCCGUCUGGGCAGAUAGGACUCCCUGUACUCCAGCUGGAGCCCUCUCCCCAUGGCUCCCGCCACAGGCCAGCCUCCACGUCCUCCGCCCGCCCCACUCUCCUCCGUGGGAGCACGAGCAGAGACACCUCAUGGUUGGACUUCGGGCCUCUCCCCGCUCCCAACUCCCGUUUCCUUACAACCAGGUUUUUUCUGCUCAGAUGAGCAGUGAUGUCCUUGAAAUACCAAACUGCAAGCUAAAAACCCUGCAUCUUCUGGAACAUCAGUUAUACUUAACAAAUAGUUUGGCGUCGGGGGGUGACCUUGUUUCAGAUAAAACAAAGGCAGUUGUGUUAGGAAAUAGAAUGCACGUACACAUCGGUGCAGUUGAGAUAAAACGGGAGACCUCACAGGUAAUUCUUAUUUGCAAGUGGGGGCAUGUGCUCCCUCUGCUCCGCCUCUAGUGGUAUCGGGUGUUUGUUUUUGGGAAGUACAAUUGCAUCUGUGUCCUAGCCGCCUUGGGGCUGCUGCUGACUCAGGGCCUGGCCUGCUCGUCCCUCUGAGGCAGGACCCAGGAGCCUGUUCCGGGGGAAAUCCCUCCCCGCAUCCCGUCCGCCUGCCUGCGACUCCCCUGUACCUAUCACAGAGUGUUAGGGCCAGCCAAUGUGUGUGUGUGUGCGGUAUGGUUUUGAGGCAGAAACAAUACUUACUGUUAGGAAUCCUAUUUAUAUAAUUGCUCAGUUCUGUGCAUGCUGUUAAAUGAUCAUUCCUUUGAUGCCAGGAAGCUACCAGGGAUAUAUACUUCUGGGUUAGGACCAUCCUAGCUCACUAAAUAUGUCAGGGCUUGUUUAUAAAUAUGAGAGGAGUUUGGGCUGUUAAGGAAAAAAAGGUGUUUUUCUCUCGAACUGGUAGCCAGCCAGUGGCUAAGACAAUUCCGGUGCUUUACCUACCUGCCUGCAAAGGCUGGAGAAUCUGGCGUCCCACGAAUUACAACUCCCAACCACAUCCAACAGGGCUGCUCUUACAGGAGACCCAGUGGUCGCUCUGAAAAUACGAAUUUAAACACCAGAAGAUUUAGAAGACUUUAGGAUUCGGAAGCUUGUGUUAUCUUUUCCAAAUAAUUAUUUUUUAAUGUCUAAAUAGUAGCCUUAUCUUAGCAAUGGACAGAUCAUUGGCCUCUCCAUAUCAGAUCACCAGUUAUUACUUUAAAUCAGUGUUUGGGAAACCCAAGCAUUUAUUAAAAUGUGCACCAGCCUGUCUCAAUAAAUGAUCAUAUCCCUCUAGUCCUCAAGGAGAGCACUUUUGCUCUUCCUUAGGAAGGACUUCAGACUUGCUCUGUGGGUGCCUGCUGUCCUCAGCACCUGAGAGACUUUAAACAGGGCGGGGUGGGAGGGGUUGUUAAACACAGCGCAGCAGCCUGCCCAGCUCCCAAGUUCCUGCCGGCAGCAUUUAUCAACGUGAGAACUGGGGUGCUUCCUGCAGCGGCACCAGCUUCCCCCAGAGCCGGGGCUGCUGCUCAGCCCCACGCCCCAGCACGAUGAGGCCCCCCCUCCUGCGGGUCAGCACAAGCUGUGCUCAAAAGUGCGCCCUGACUGGCUGCAGGCAGUUGCAGAAAUCCCUGGGGUCACGUCAUCAGGGGAGGCAGGUAGCGAAUGUCUUCAGGAUGAAUUGAGUCCCAUCACCAGUCCCUGGCUGCCUUCCAAAUGCUGGGUGUCUGAAGGCCAAGAGGGUUUUUUUUAUUAUUAUUAUUAUUUAUUUGAUGUCAAACUCCAAGAAAUGCUUGGAGUCUCAGCUCUGACAACCAAGAAGGGAAAUGACCUAUAUAGAGGCCUAACUGUGAACCAGGCCCUGGACUAGGCCUCCGUUUCCAGGUGAUAAAACAGAUUUGGAACGGAAGAGUCACUCACCGUGACGUACACAGCCAGGACUUAUCGGAGCAGGAUUUUGAAUCCAGUCCUCUCUAACUCCGUGGCCCGUGGGGCACGUCUAAGUACAGAGGGAGAAAAGGUGCCAGGUUCCCCCACCUCAGUGCGACAAUCCCAUUUUAUGAAUUGUUUCAAAAUUACAUUUCCCAGCUGUAGAUUGGGCUCAAAAAUAGCAUCAAAGUAGCCUUCUUCUUCCACUUUAGCAGAUGCAUUAAGUACACAUGGCAAAGUUCAGACUGCCCCCAGGAGUUGGGGGAGCCUUUCCUUUUUGGUGCCAAACAGCAAAGGUGAAGGGUGUCGGCUCCGUAGCCUUGUUUGAAAAUGUCCGCUGCUACACUGCUGUGGAAAAGGGAGUCUUCAUAUUUUAGUACACGUGGCCGGUUCUGAGCUCUGUGAGGACUCGGAAACCUGAAGUCCAGCGACUCUAGCCUUUCUGGCUGAUACCUGAUAUGUGUACAUAAAUGACAUUUAUAUACAUAUAUGUGCGCACACACACACAGUUUAAGCACUGAAGGAAAUUCAGAGCAGCCCCUCAUUAUUUUUCAGACCACUGCAAAGGUUUCCACCAGCCCUGAUUCCAAGGGUCACCAGAUAAUCGGAGCUUAGGGGCUUACAAAAUGCUAACACGCAGAGCGGCUCCCUGGCAAAGGUUGUCAGACCCGAAGGCACUGAGCCGAGGUGACAGCCCCGAAGGAAAUGCACUCCAGCCCUUCCACCUGCAGGUCGGCUAACAGCACUGGAGAGUGGGACGCCAGGCGUGCUGGUGACCUGAGAGUGACCCGACCACGCCGGGCUGGCCCGCGGGCCCAGCGGCAGCAUCCAUGACCUGUAGUCAUGGCAGGGCCUUGGAGUCCUCCUCCCCACCUGGAAAACGUUCUCCUGCCAGUACCUGAAGUUCCACAUGCACGCACAUAAUGGCUGUUCAGUACGUGCUUUUUUAUAAGGAAGUCAGUUGCAAUGUCUCCCAUGUGCCCAGCACAUCUGGAAUUUUCUAUUUAAAAAACAAAUCUAUUAACAAAUGGAGUCAGCCCAGCCCAGAGGGGAGACCCCUCAUCUCCUUGCCUUUGCCCAGCCGGGUCUCCGGAGCCCCCACCUCAGCCUGCUCCGAGCACUGGAAGGCCCCAGCAGCUCCCGCCCUCUGGGGCCGGCCACGUAAAACAGGACCGUUUGGAACUGAGAGCACACCAGAAACACGCAUCCGAGCAAGAAAAUGGAAAUGAAUUAAGACAGUUGUGAGUAUACUGGUGCAAAAAAAAAAAAAAAGAAAAAGGAAAAAUGCCACAGAGCUGGGCCUGACAUGCCCUUGAGGGGACAAUAGAUGGAUGCUUAGUGGGAGUUAAACCCGAUUAGUCUCUCUGCGGUGACGGGCCGCACUGCCCAGGUGGGGAGGGCCGAGGAACCCGCUGUCCUCUGCCUGCGUUCCUGUGCGGUCAGGCUCCCUCCUCGGUCAUCUUCCCCUUCCACCCUUCCCAUUAAACAAGGGAACACUCCAUCUUUCAAGGGAACUACACGUUUGAGUUAAUGUUUCAGUAUAUCAUCUUCAUACUGUAAAUUAUUUUGUAAGAGAUUUACCGCUAUCCCAGGAUGUUUGGACUCAGCGCCCCUGUGCAUUUGGAAAUCAAUAAACUAUUACUGGAAA